AGCUCUUGGCCGCAAUGACGAAUUUCGACACAAAUAAAUUAUGCAAACUAACUAUAAAUACUGACAAACACUUUUAGGAUCUUGAUUUUAGAAGAACCUUCACGAUUUCCGAGCUUAUAGCGAUAAAGUAAACUAUGUUUUCGAGGGGGCCAAAUUUCCGAAGGGGAGGCCAUAUUUCCUAGGAAAUUUGGCCCGGGGGGGG
rnacentral:lncRNA from 1 species